CUGUGAGACAGUUAUGGGAGGUGAUUAUUACCAAAUCGUUUUGAGGACGGAAUUUGGCUCAGGCAUUUAUCACAUUUGAACAUUUGAGAUGCUGUGCGAUGAGAUCAGAGAACAGUCAUCCGAACACAUCAUCUGCUGAGUCACUGGAGUUCCUGUGAUGUGUUUGCGUUUACACUGACCUCACUGAAACGAAGUCUGAGCUGAAGAUGAACAUAUUCAGAGCAGAUGUCAUUCACAUCUGACAUGUUCCCCAUUAAACUCUCUCUGUGGUUGGUGUUUCCUGGCAUGAUUAAUAAAGCGGCGGUUCCCCAGACGCUUCCAAACUCUGGAAAAACCCACAGGCCUUGGGCUGCAGAAUGAAUCACAAGCAGGAAGUUCAGCCAUGAGGGGCUGAUGAUACGUUUGCUUCUCUAGACGGCAGUGGGACGAAACAUGAAAUCAGAGAUUGAUCCUUUGACCCAGCUCUCUCUCUCUCUCUCUCUCUCUCUCUCUCUCUCUCUCUCUCUCUCUCUUUAUUUGUGUUUGCUGUAACAGAGCCCAGUGAUCUUUAACCUCUAAAACUCCCACAUUCUUCUAUUAGGACAAAAUCAGUCUCAAAUUAGAACUCAAACAAACAUGGUUUCAUAUCCUCCCAGGGACUUUCCACUGACUUCUUGUUUUUAUACUGAGCUGAUUAUAUAUGCAUAUCAAAAGUUUGUAGUAAGAUUUUUAAUGUUUUUAAUAAAGUCUCUUUGGCUCACCAAGGCUGCAUUUAUUUGAUAAAAAAAAAAAUACAGGGAGAAAACAAUAAUAUUAUUGCAAUGUAAAACAACUUUUCUAUGUUUUCUAUGUGAAUAUCUGUUAAAAAGUAAUUGAUUUCUGUGAUGCGUGGCUGAAUUUUCGGCAUCAUGACUCCAGUCUUCAGUGUCACAUGAUCCUUCAGAAAUCUUUCUGUGACAUAGGACCACAAAACCAGUCAUAAGGGUCAAUUUUUUGAAACUGAGAUUUAUUCGUCAUCUGAAAGCUGAAGCUCUCAAUUGAUUUAUGGUUUGUUAGGAUGUGAUGUAUUUGGAUGAGAUUUAACUAUUUGAAAAUCUGCAAUCUGAGGGUGCAGAAAAAAAAAUCAAAAUAUUGAGAAAAUCGCCUUUAAAGUUGUCCAAAUGAAAUUCUUA